CCUGGGAUAGCUUAUGGCGUGAUGGUGUGAGUAUGUCAUGGGGUUGGGAUGCGCUUAUAUGUGGAGCACUGUUUAAUGGAGGUGCUGAGGGGCAAACCUUUGUGCCAGGAAGAAGCAGCUGAACAGGUUUGGUUACAGCAGCACCGAAGCAGAUGCAGAGACCAUCUUGACAUCCACAGUGCUGAGGCAUUCUUUUCUGUCGAGGAUGGACUUGCAGCUGAUGAAGAGACACCAGCCUGGUGACAGCAGGACAUUCCCAGAGGGCAAGGUGGCCUUCCUUGACUCCCAACGUGGAUUCUGAUCCCCGGAUGUCCCAGAGAUAAGUGGAGGGCUCGGGGCACAGAGGGGAUGAAAAUGGGGUGCUGGGUUGGGACUUGCCGGAGGGAUUUGAGUCAGGUUUGGAUAGGGGGAUGUCCAAGAUGUGACCCCUUAGGCCACAUCAAGGGUAUCUCUCCCAGCACUGAAGUGUGCAGGGCCGAGCAGUCCCAAUGCGCGUCGUGUCACUUGUCUGUCGUGUCUUUUGUGUGUCUCGUGUGGCAGGUCUUUUGCCUUAGCCCUUUGAGGGGCCUAUCAAAAACACCAGGCGUUGUUCUUAGCAUCUCCCUGUUCCUUGGCCAGGUGCUGAUACCUUUGAGCCACUGGUUUGGACUUACAUCUGAAUCGCAUCUCUUCAGAAGCGUCCAGUCCAAUGUCUUCUCAGGUCUUGUUCUGAGCUGUAUGGACAGCUGUGCACUGCCGUGAUCCAUUGUGGUGGGUUAGGACUUGUCCAAAAGCAAAGAUAGAGGAUUCUGACCGUAGGACUCUUGGGCAUCCAUCUUUGCGGCUCUUGGAAUGAGUCCUCUUGUUAGCAUCUUCUUCCUGCAGGGUUCUGUGAGCCUGGCCAGCUCACCCUUGGUCUUACCUUGGUCAUCUCAUUCCGAGUCCUCACUGUCAUUCUUCUUGCCAAGAGUUUUCUCUCCCUGUUGUGUCCCCUCGUUUGUUGUCUCCUGUGUCACAGGUGCCAGUGAGUGUUUGGCCCGGAGCUGCUCUGCCCUGCUGCCUAGUUGGCUGUAGGGGUAAUAGGACAAGCCCCGGGGACCUGAAAUGGGUGGUGUAGGGUGGAGUUGGACUGUAGAGGGCCUUCCUAGGUUGCCACCAGAUGCCUGCAUCUGUCAGGUUAUGCUGCAGCGCUUUGACAUUUUUCCCUAACUUCCUUUCA